rnacentral:rRNA from 1 species
AAGAUGAGUAUGCGUUCUAUUAGCUAGAUGGUGUGGUAACGGCACACCAUGGCAACGAUAGAUAGGGGCCCUGAGAGGGGGAUCCCCCACACUGGUACUGAGACACGGACCACACUCCUACGGGAGGCAGCAGUGAGGAAUAUUGGACAAUGGGCGAGAGCCUGAUCCAGCCAUGCCGCGUGCAGGAAGACUGCCCUAUGGGUUGUAAACUGCUUUUAUAUAGGAAGAAACCUUUCCACGUGUGGAAAGCUGACGGUACUAUAAGAAUAAGGAUCGGCUAACUCCGUGCCAGCAGCCGCGGUAAUACGGAGGAUCCAAGCGUUAUCCGGAAUCAUUGGGUUUAAAGGGUCCGUAGGUGGAUAAUUAAGUCAGAGGUGAAAUCCUGCAGCUCAACUGUAGAAUUGCCUUUGAAACUGGUUAUCUUGAAUUAUUGUGAAGUGGUUAGAAUAUGUAGUGUAGCGGUGAAAUGCAUAGAUAUUACAUAGAAUACCAAUUGCGAAGGCAGAUCACUAACAAUAUAUUGACACUGAUGGACGAAAGCGUGGGGAGCGAACAGGAUUAGAUACCCUGGUAGUCCACGCCGUAAACGAUGGUCACUAGCUGUUCCAAACUUCGGUUUGAGUGGCUAAGAGAAAUUGAUAAGU